UCCGGUUUGGCACCGGCAGUCUCCCUAGAGUUCCCGGCAUGACCCGCUGGCAACUAAGGACAGGGGUUACGCUCGUUGCGCCACUUAAGGCAACACCUCACGGCACGAGCUGACGACAGCCAUGCAGCACCUGUGCGGGCUCCCGAAGGAGCGCCGUGUUUCCACGGUUUCACCCCGCAUGUCAAGCCCUGGUAAGGUUCUUCGCGUUGCGUCGAAUUAAGCCACAUGCUCCGCCGCUUGUGCGGGCCCCUGUCAAUUCCUUUGAGUUUUAGCCUUGCGGCCGUACUCCCCAGGUGGUUCACUUAACGCUUUCGCUUGGACGCGUACUGUAUAUCGCACACAUCGAGUGAACAUCGUUUACGGCGUGGACUAC
rnacentral:misc_RNA from 1 species